CAACUCGGGGGACCGCGAGUCGCGCUACAAGGCGAUUCACGACGUCAUCAACUUCAACUGGCUGGACGGCAA
rnacentral:misc_RNA from 1 species